GGAGGGUUGUCCGAGCGGCCGAUGGAGCUGGUCUUGAAAACCAGUGGACAGAAAUGUCUCAAGAGUUCGAAUCUCUUACCCUCCG
rnacentral:tRNA from 1 species